GUCUAUGAUGGUUCCACCCUAGAUGCACCAAUCUCUUUCAAUCUCAGAAGCUAAGUAGGCCUAGACCUGGUUAUACUUGGAUGGGAGAUUUGAGAUAACUAUGUCUAUAUUAGCU
rnacentral:rRNA from 1 species